rnacentral:rRNA from 1 species
UACAGAGGUCUCAAGCGUUGUUCGGAUUCAUUGGGCGUAAAGGGUGCGUAGGCGGCGCGGUAAGUCGGGUGUGAAAUCUCGGAGCUUAACUCCGAAACUGCAUUCGAUACUGCCGUGCUUGAGGACUGGAGAGGAGACUGGAAUUUACGGUGUAGCGGUGAAAUGCGUAGAUAUCGUAAGGAAGACCAGUGGCGAAGGCGGUUGCCUGGAGCUUUGCUGACGCUGAUGCGCGAAAGCGUGGGGAGCGAGCCGG